rnacentral:lncRNA from 1 species
GGAGACCAUGGAUAAUAGUGAAAUGGUGUGAAAUAAUUAGAAAGUGGCUGUGGCUGGCUGUAACAAUAGAAUUCAGCUGAAGUGACACCUGAGGAAUUCCGAGACCAGGGCAGAAAAUGCCUUGUUGCCUGGGACACUCAUGUCUGGGAUCCUGAGCUGCUGUGCAGGCCCACCCCGAGGCCUCCAUGCUGUGAGGAAGCCUCGGCCAUGUGUGGGUGCUCUGGAAAACAGCCAUGGUGGAGGUCCCAUGUGACAGCCGGCGCUAACCACCAGGCUCCUGAGUGAAGAUACCUCCACAUGAUACCUGCCUCCAGAGCCUUUGAGUCGCCCCAGCCACUCAAUCUUCCCAGCUGAGACUACAGACAUUCUGGAGUAGAGAAGCCAUUCCUGUAGUACCCUAUCUGAAUUCUUUUUUUUUUCUUUCAUAGAGACAGGGGUCUCCCUAUGUUGCCCAGGCUGGUCUCAAACUCCCGGGGUCAAGCAGUUAUCCUGCCUUGGCCUCGCAAAAUGCUGGGAUUACAGGCAUGAGCCACUGCACCUAGCCCUGAAUUCUUGACCUACAGAAUCCUUGAGCAUAAUCAAAUGAUUGUUUUAAACCACUAGGUUUUUGGGGUAAUUUGUUUCAUAGCAAAAGUAAGGAGAACAUUUUGUUGAGGAGAAAGAGGCUGUGUUUCUAUGGUCCUACGGCUGCUGGAGGGACAGGGCAGAAGCUUUCACUUGCCUUUCCCCAUUUGCCAUGCCUCCCUGCUCUCAUCUCAUCUCAGCCUGUACUGGAAUUACCUGUGGAUGUGUCUGUCUGCCCUACCAGACUGGACUGUGAGCCCCUGUUGGGGAGGAUGGCAGAAACUGUCUUGGUUGCCUCAUAUUCCCAGUGCCCAGCACAGAGCCUGGCACAUAAGAUAAUCAGCAGAUCCUUGCUGGGUACAUGCACAGCGGUUGGUCUGAUGUUUAUUUCCCAGUUAGAACUGCUGGCAGUGGGGAUCCCAAACCUUUUCCAAGGACUUCGUGGGAGCUGGAAGGAAGCUCUUGCUGGCUGCCUCCCACAGAAGCAUAUGAUUGGACUGAAAGCAAUUUUUCUGAAAGCAUUCUGGUGAAUACAACAUUUUGAUUGAAACAAUGAUUUGAUUGAAAAUGAGUAUUUCCCAGUUGUUGUUUUUUUAAAUAUAUAUAAUGUUGGUCAUUCUCAUGCUUUAUCAAGCAAUUUUCAAUGCUUUAAGUUUUUAAGCAUUUUUGUCCUUUUCCUGAACUUUUCAGGGGUUUUCCCUAAUUAUUUGUAAUUUGUUUUUUAGCCCACUUUUACUGUUUUUUCAAUAUUUGUAAUAGUACAAAAUUGGAACUGCCUAACUGAUUAGUGGGCUGCUUAAAUUAAGGUAUGAAAUGUACCUCAAUAUAUUAACAUAUAUACAAUAAUUCCAGUUUUGUUAAAAAAAAUUAUGCACAAACAUACAAAUAUCUAGAAAGAUAUCCACCAAUGCUUCUUGACCAGGAGGCAUUCACUGGGAUACUCCCAGAAGACUUUUAAAAAUAGUGAUUUCUUUUCCUUUUGAGACCGAGUCUCACUCUGUUGCCCAGGCUGGAGUGCAGUGGCAUUAGCUCACUGCAACCUCUGCCUCCUGGGUUCAAGUGAUUCUCGUGCCUUAGCCUCCCGAGUAUCUGGGACUACAGGCACCCACCACCACACCCGGCUAAUUUUUCUAUUUUUAGUAGAGAUGGGGUUUCACCAUGUUGGCCAGGCUAGUCUCGAACUCCUGACCUCAGGUGAUCCUGCUGCCUCAGCCUCCCAAAGUGUUGGGAUUACAGGUGUGAGCCACUGCUCCUGGCCUAAAAUACUGAUUUAUUUAUUUAUUUAUUUUUUUGAGACAGAGUCUCGCUCUGUUGCCCAGGCUAGAAUGCAGUGGUGCAAUCUCGGCUCACUGCAGUCUCCCCAUUCUGGGUUCAAGCAAUUCUCCUGCCUCAGCCUCCUGAGUAGCUGGGACUACAGGUGAAUGCCACCAUGCCUGGCUAAUUUUUGUGUUUUUAGUAGAGAGGGGGUUUCAUCAUGUUGGCCAAGCUAGUCUGAAACUCCUGGUCUCAAGUGAUCCGCCAGCCUUGGCCUCCCAAAGUGCCGGGAUUACAGGUAUGAGCCACCGUGCCCAUCCUAAAAUACUGAUUCCUUCAUGCCUGUAAUCCCAGCACUUUGGGAGGCUGAAGUGGGAGGAUCGUUUGAGUUCAGGAGUGUGAGACUAGCUUGGGCAAAAUAGUAAGACUCUGUCUCAACAAAAAAUAAAAAAAUUAGGCCAGGUGCGGUGGCGCAUACCUGUAAUCCCAGCACUUUGGGAGGCCGAGGUGGGCGGAUCACGAGGUAAGGAGUUCAAGACCUGCCUGGCCAAUGUGGUGAAACCCCAUCUCCACUAAAAAUACAAAAAAAUUAGCCAGGUAUGGUGGCGGGCACUUGUAAUCCCAGGUACUUGGGAGGCUGAGGCAGGAGAAUUGCUUGAACUCAGGAGGCGGAGGUUGCAGUGAGCUGGGAUUGCACCAUUGCACUCCAGCCUGGGUGACAGAGCAAGACUCCAUCUCAGGGGGAAAAAAAAAAAAAUUACUCAUGGUGGCACAUGCCUAUAGUCCCAGCUACUCAGGAGGCUGAGAUGGGAGGAUUGCUUAAGCCUGGGAGAUCAAAGCUGCAGGAAGAUCACUACUACACUCUAGCCUGGACCACAGAGCAAGACUCUGUCUCUGAAAAGUAAAAACAGUUUUGGUUUUUUUUUGAGACGGAGUCUUGCUCUGUGGCCCAGGCUGGAAUGCAAUGGCACAAUCUUGGCUCACUGCAACCUCUGCCUCCCGGGUUCAAGCGAUUCUUAUGCCUCAACCUCCCAAUUAGCUGGGAUUACAGGCACAUGUCGCCAUGCCCAGCUAAUUUUUGCAUUUUUAGUAGAGAGGGGGUUUCACUAUGUAUGUUGCCCAGGCUGGUCUUGAAUUCCUGACCUCAGGUGAUCCACCCACCUCGGCCUCUCAAAGUACUGGGAUUACAGGCAUGAGCCACUGCACCCGGUCACUAAAAAAUAUUUUUUAAAAAUUGAUUCCUUUACUCCAGAAAGGGAAGAAGAAGAGAUGGAUACAUAGGUAGGUAGGUAGGUAGGUAGGUAGGUAGGUAGAUAGAUAGAUAGAUAGAUAGAUAGAUAGAUAGAUAGAGAUUCCUGAGCUCUGUCUGGGAAAGCAGAAAUCUGCUAGGAUGGGGAGUGGGUUGGGAGUGGGGAACCAGACAUCUGUAUUUUUAAAAGGCAUCUAGGAUUGGGACCCCUGACUUAGAAUCACAGAAGAGUAAACCAAGUAGGUACUUAAUUCAGUCCUCAUUUUGUGUAUGGGUGAGUUAGACUCCAAGAAGGGACUUGCUCAGGGUCACACAGUGGGAGGGAUGACAAGGACUAGAGUCCAGGCCUCCUGGCUCCUGGCCUAGUUGCCCUUUCCUCUUUGUUCUUGCUCCAGGUGUGAAAAGAAAUUGUCUCUAGGUGGGAUUAUGGGAUUUGUUUGAAUCAUUCUUUUGCAUGUUUCUAUUUUCUGACGUUUCUGUAAGAGUAUCAGUUGCUUUUGGCACAAGAUAAAAACAAAGAAUAAAAGAAAGGAUAAGGCCAGGUGCAGUGGCUUAUGCCUGUAAUCCCAGGACUUUGGGAGGCCAAGGCAGGUGGAUCAUUUGAGGUCAGGAGUUCAAGACCAGCCUGGGCACAGGGACAUGGUGAGACCCUGUCUCUACUAAAUAUACAAAAAUUAGUCAGGCCUGGUGGCUCAUGCCUGUAAUCCUAGCUACUUGGGAGGCUGAGGCAGGAGAAUCGCUUGAACCCAAGAGGUGAAAGUUGCAGUGAGCUGAGAUCACACCACUGCACUCUAGC